GGACAUCCAGGACUGGUGGGUGCUCCUGGACCUAAAGGAGAUCCUGGGCCUGUGGGGCCUAUGGGUGCCCGAGGGGAUCCCGGCUUUGAGGGCCCCAUGGUGAGUUGCACUUGGACAUAUUCGGCAGGGUAUUACAUCAUUGCAUUACAGUCAAACACACAUCGGUACAGACAUUACAUGGAGAGAUGAGAUGUACGUAUGUAAGAGUUUCCGUCCCAGUUGUCUGCAGGGUUUGGUGGAUGAUUCUGCAACUUUUGUCACCAAAGCAGAACAGACCUUACAGUUCACACUGAUACACUGUAAAUAUAUUUGCUGAUUGAUCUCUACAAGCACUCUGUUAGUAGAUAGCAUAUUGAAGCCUCACAGUGCCAUCUGCUGGUUGGAUCAUGCUGCUGGACAUGAUGCUGCCAGACACCGCUUUACUGUAGUGUAACUCAUUCCACACAUUUAUUAUUUAUUCCCUUAGACAUCUUUCAAAAUAACAUCUUUACUAGCCAUUUGAUCUUUUAUAUAUCUUUUAAAUGAUUUCAUAUGGAAUGUGAUCAUUUCACUUGUCUACACGUUGAAUAUUGUUUCUAAAAUCCUGAAGUACUUAAUCCAUCGUCAUACUUUUUGGGAUUAUUUACAGGGUUCACCAGGGGGACAGGGUCCUAUGGGUUUUCCUGGGAUACUGGGUAUAAGAGGACCAGAUGGGGACAAGGGAGAUCCAGGGCCUAAAGGGGACAAAGGUAUUCAUGGGGCAGCAGGUAUUAGGGGUCCUCAGGGAGAGAGGGGCCCCACCGGCUUCCUAGGUUUCCCAGGCACCAAGGGCCAGCCUGGUCCCACAGGCACUGAGGGCACAAAUGGAGAAACUGGCCCUCAGGGAAAACAGGGCAGCCGUGGGUUAAAGGUCAGUGAUGAUUUGUGCGUCUGAAAUGUCAGAUGACUUCAUGUGUUGAUCCAAGUGCCACUUUAACUGUGAAACAUUAGAGCUUCCAGUGGCCUCCUGCAUGUACAUUUAACAACUUAAUAUUGUGAAGUGAAUUACUGCAUGAAUUUAACACACUCCUGAUUGUCUCUGCACUUGGUCAUUCC
rnacentral:lncRNA from 15 species